CUGGUUUUGUCUACAUGUGGAAGCUUUCUUGGGCAUCUUCCUUUCCCAAGCUUUUUGGCAUCUCCGGCUUUAUUUCCAACACAAACCCACCAGUCCAUACACUCAGAAAGGUAUGGGUACAUAUCUAUUGGAAAUUCUAAAUGAGCGCUUCAGCAAAAAACUGGUUCAAUAUUGAAUGUCAUCCAAGGGGAAGUGGACCCUACUCAGCGUUAGGAAAAAUGCUUGGAGAGAGCUUGCUAUAAAAUGCUACGCUAUGGAGUAAGAUUAAAGUGUAGUUGGGAAUAUAGAACCUUUGGAUCACUUUGUAAGGUGCAAGGUAGAGCAUGGAAGUUGUAGGUGAUUUCAGUAUUACUUGAAGACUUAUAGAAUUUUAGUUACCUUUAUUUUGUAAUUCAUGUUUUAUACGGUGGAGAUUAUUUCCAAUUUGUGGAGUUUAGCUUUUG